AACGCGAAGAACCUUACCUACUCUUGACAUCCCAAGAAUACCGUAGAGAUAUGGUAGUGCCGAAAGGAACUUGGAGACAGGUGCUGCAUGGCUGUCGUCAGCUCGUGUCGUGAGAUGUUGGGUUAAGUCCCGUAACGAGCGCAACCCCUGUACUUAGUUGCUAACGAGUUAAGUCGAGCACUUUAAGUAGACUGCCCGUGAGAAGCGGGAGGAAGGCGGGGAUGACGUCAAGUCCUCAUGGCCUUUAUGAGUAGGGCUACACACGUGCUACAAUGGGCGGCACAGAGGGAAGCGAAACCGAGAGGUGAAGCGGAUCUCAGAAAACCGUUCGUAGUCCGGAUUGGAGUCUGCAACUCGACUCCAUGAAGCUGGAAUCGCUAGUAAUCGCGGAUCAGAACGCCGCGGUGAAUACGUUCCCGGGCCUUGUA
rnacentral:rRNA from 1 species